AACGAACGCUGGCGGCAGGCCUAACACAUGCAAGUCGAACGCCCGUAGCAAUACGGGAGUGGCAGACGGGUGAGUAACGCGUGGGAACGUGCCCUUCGGUUCGGAAUAACUCAGGGAAACUUGAGCUAAUACCGGAUACGUCCGUAAGGAGAAAGAUUUAUCGCCGAAGGAUCGGCCCGCGUCGGAUUAGCUAGUUGGUGAGGUAACGGCCCACCAAGGCGACGAUCCGUAGCUGGUCUGAGAGGANGAUCAGCCACACUGGGACUGAGACACGGCCCAGACUCCUACGGGAGGCAGCAGUGGGGAAGUCUUGCGCAAUGGGCGGAAAGCCUGACGCAGCGACGCCGCGUGAGGGAUGACAGCCUUCGGGUUGUUAAACC
rnacentral:rRNA from 1 species